GACGAACGCUGGCGGCGUGCUUAACACAUGCAAGUCGAACGGGUCUGCCUUGUUUUUUGCGGGGUGGGUCAGUGGCGAACGGGUGAGUAACACGUGAGUAACCUGCCCCUCACUUCUGGAUAACCGCUUGAAAGGGUGGCUAAUACGGGGUGUUCUGGCUGUGCCGCAUGGUGUGGCUGGGAAAGAUUCACUUUUGUGGUGUUUUGGUGGGGGAUGGGCUCGCGGCCUAUCAGCUUGUUGGUGGGGUGAUGGCCUGCCAAGGCUUUGACGGGUAGCCGGCCUGAGAGGGUGGGCGGUCACACUGGGACUGAGAUACGGCCCAGACUCCUGCGGGAGGCAGCAGUGGGGGGUAUUGCACAAUGGGCGGAAGCCUGAUGCAGCGACGUCGCGUGAGGGAUGGAGGCCUUCGGGUUGUGAACCUC
rnacentral:rRNA from 1 species